rnacentral:rRNA from 1 species
AGUGAACGCUGGCGGUAGGCCUAACACAUGCAAGUCGAACGGCAGCACAGUAAGAGCUUGCUCUUACGGGUGGCGAGUGGCGGACGGGUGAGGAAUACAUCGGAAUCUACUUUUUCGUGGGUGAUAACGUAGGGAAACUUACGCUAAUACCGCAUACGACCUACGGGUGAAAGCAGGGGAUCUUCUGACCUUGCGCGAUUGAAUGAGCCGAUGUCGGAUUAGCUAGUUGGCGGGGUAAAGGCCCACCAAGGCGACGAUCCGUAGCUGGUCUGAGAGGAUGAUCAGCCACACUGGAACUGAGACACGGUCCAGACUCCUACGGGAGGCAGCAGUGGGGAAUAUUGGACAAUGGGCGCAAGCCUGAUCCAGCCAUACCGCGUGGGUGAAGAAGGCGUUCGGGUGGUAAAGUCCUUUUGUUGGGAAAGAAAAGCAGCAGGUUAAUACGCCGCUGUUCUGACGGUACCCAAAGAAUAAGCACCGGCUAACUUCGUG